rnacentral:rRNA from 1 species
UACGAAGGGGGCUAGCGUUGCUCGGAAUGACUGGGCGUAAAGGGCGCGUAGGCGGAUGGCACAGUCAGAUGUGAAAUUCCCGGGCUUAACCUGGGGGCUGCAUUUGAUACGCGUUGUCUUGAGUUCGGAAGAGGGUCGUGGAAUUCCCAGUGUAGAGGUGAAAUUCGUAGAUAUUGGGAAGAACACCGGUGGCGAAGGCGGCGACCUGGUCCGACACUGACGCUGAGGCGCGAAAGCGUGGGGAGCAAACAGG